UACGUAGGGUGCGAGCGUUAAUCGGAAUUACUGGGCGUAAAGCGUGCGCAGGCGGUUCGAUAAGUCUGAUGUGAAAUCCCCGGGCUCAACCUGGGAACUGCGUUGGAAACUGUCGAGCUAGAGUGUAGAAGAGGGGGGUAGAAUUCCACGUGUAGCAGUGAAAUGCGUAGAGAUGUGGAGGAAUACCGAUGGCGAAGGCAGCCCCCUGGGCUAACACUGACGCUCAUGCACGAAAGCGUGGGGAGCAAACAGG
rnacentral:rRNA from 1 species